rnacentral:lncRNA from 1 species
CACCUAGAGAUGCUCUUCUGUGUACACUGUAGACACACCGAGGCUUGGGUUCUGUACCAUGGCAGAGCUUACAGUGCCUCUGCGCCCACUUCCUCAUAGUACAGGGUGAUGGAGUGGCCCAGGUGAAUGGCUCUGGCACUUCAGUACUUAAACUCAUCCCCGUGUGUUCACAGUGUCUCACUCUUAUUUCUAAAGGAAACCUGAUUUUAAUGUUUUUGUUUGCCUGAAAACAAUGACUUCCAUGCCAUCCUGAUAACAGCUCCUGGCUGUCUCAUGGAUGCAGUCUCCUUAGCAAAACUCCCUUCAUCUUGUGGUUCCUUUGCUAAGGAAGUCAUAGGGGAGAAGGAGCACUAAGGGGAAAUGUCACAAUUGCAUAUGCCAAGGCCAAAGAAGUCACCUAACUUUUCGUACUUGUGGAAGUGACUGACUUGCCUUUUGAGUGUCUGACCCACAAUAGCAUAGCACCAGGAAGCCCAGUCCCUGGCAGCUGUUGGCCUCUGCCUGCUGUGUUUGCACUCUCACAGAGGAAGUGUUCAUCUAUACCAGUGGACAGUGGAGUCCACAGAGUCCAAAGUGAUAACACACGUCCUCCACCUCAGGCUGUCAGAGCCAGACCCCAGCCACACCCUGGAGGAGAGGGUUGUGCAUUGGUACUUCAAGCUGCUUGAUAAGAACUCUAGCGGAGACAUUGGCAAGAAGGAAAUCAAACCCUUUAAGAGGUUCCUGCGAAAGAAAUCCAAGCCCAAAAAGUGCGUGAAGAAGUUUGUUGAAUACUGCGAUAUGAACAACGAUAAGUCCAUCACGGUGCAGGAGCUCAUGGGCUGCUUGGGCGUCACCAGAGAGGAGGGUAAAGCCAACACCAGGAAGCGUCACA